GGAUGCGAUACCAGCACUAAUGCACCGGAUCCCAUCAGAACUCCGAAGUUAAGCGUGCUUGGGCGAGAGUAGUACUAGGAUGGGUGACCCCUGGGAAGUCCUCGUGUUGCAUCCC
rnacentral:rRNA from 1 species